GUGGGGAAUCUUGCGCAAUGGGCGAAAGCCUGACGCAGCCAUGCCGCGUGAAUGAUGAAGGUCUUAGGAUUGUAAAAUUCUUUCACCGGGGACGAUAAUGACGGUACCCGGAGAAGAAGCUCCGGCUAACUUCGUGCCAGCAGCCGCGGUAAUACGAAGGGGGCUAGCGUUGCUCGGAAUUACUGGGCGUAAAGGGCGCGUAGGCGGACAGCUUAGUCAGAGGUGAAAGCCCGGGGCUCAACCUUGGAAUUGCCUUUGAUACUGGCUGUCUUGAGUACGGGAGAGGUGAGUGGAACUCCGAGUGUAGAGGUGAAAUUCGUAGAUAUUCGGAAGAACACCAGUGGCGAAGGCGACUCACUGGCCCGUUACUGACGCUGAGGCGCGAAAGCGUGGGGAGCAAACAGGAUUAGAUACCCCAGUAGUCC
rnacentral:rRNA from 1 species